rnacentral:sRNA from 1 species
GGAAGGGAAACUGACAUCUCUCUGUCAAUUAAUAAAGUCUCCUGUGAGUGUGAAGGUAGACUGGCUGGCUAGGUGGUGACCUUGUUUUCCCUUACAGAUCUUCCAAAGCUGCUUGCUCUGUCAAAGAAGAUGGCAGUCACAAAUAAAGAAGAAAGGCUCUCUAGUGUUCGGAGCUGUGUUUUCCUGCUAGAUCCUCAAAACAGACAUAAUUAGUGUGUUUAUAUGAGAUCUGUUUAGUAGCUAAGAGAGCAUUUGAGAUAAAAGGAAGGUAUCUUAGUCACCUUCCUGCUUU